rnacentral:lncRNA from 1 species
ACUGGGUGUCUGGACCUAUAGAGUGUUGUUCCUUCUGCUGAGUUUCUAUCAUGAUCAGAAUGAGAGCACACAGGAGUCCAUGCAUGAUCUUAACAACUAGGCGGAGGCCCUGGGAGGGGAGCGGCGGGCGUCCAUCUUGUUCCUAUGUUUCACACUGGAGCACCUGCGCCAUCGCUGUCUGUCCUGACUGGACCAACCAAUUAUAGUGGAGCUCCUUAGCUCCCAGGAUACACCUCACCACCUCCCUGUCAGUCAAGGUGUGAAGGUGGUGCUUCUAGUGCUGUACCCUGAGAGGAAGGGCUCUGUCCAUGUAGACGAUUGGGGCCAAAUUAAGAAGAUGGUGAGCUCUGACCUGGGCUACAGGCUGGCCAGGUUUGACCCCUUAGCCAAGGCAGUGAGAGUGGACAGGGAGCUGGUCCACAGCUGCAUAGCAGGGCCAUGCCUCAGGACUACCUGGCAUGAUGACUCCUUGCUGUCCCCAGUCCACCUGGCCGUGCUGCUGCUCCAGUUUCAACUUUUCCGCCUGCGGCUAUAGAACCCUGACCUGUUCACCAGACAUGCUACCUGUCCCAGACCUGCUGUUUUCAACUCUCUAGAGAGUGGUAGAGAUACUCUCAAUGAUCGGCUAUGAAAAGCCAACUGACAUUUACUCUUGAGGUGCUGACUUGUUGCACCCUCGACAACUACUGUGAAUAUUAUUAUUUGACCAUGCUAGUCAUUUAUGAACAUUUGAACAUCUUAGCCAUGUUCUGUUAUAAUCUCCACUCGGCACAGCCAGAAGAGAACUGGCCACCCCUCAUAGCCUGGUUCCUCUCUAGGUUUCUUCCUCGGUUUUGGCCUUUCUAGGGAGUUUUUCCUAGCCACUGUGCUUCUACACCUGCAUUACUUGCUGUUUGGGGUUUUAGGCAGGGUUUCUGUACAGCACUUUGAGAUAUCAGCUGAUGUAAGAAGGGCUAUAUAAAUUGAUUUGAUUUGAUUUGAUGUUUGAAUCCCCGAGCUGACUAGGUGUAAAAUCUGUUCAUGUGCCCUUGAGCAAGGCACUUAACCAUAAUUGCUCCUUUAAGUCGCUCUGGAUAAGAGCAUCUGCUAAAUGACUCAAAUGUAAAUGUACUCAAUGGAGAGCAGUUUAAUGGAGUAAUACAUCUAAUCAAUUAUCAUUUUAGCUGCAGCGUAGGUUGUGUCUGAGUGGGUGGAGACCUGUGGAUGGGCAUAGAGUCAGUGUGGAUAGUCUGUGGGAGAGGAGCAGUAGUUGGCCAUUUAACAGUCUUAUGGCCAGGGGAUAGAAGCUGUUUAGGAGUCUGUUUGUCUGAGCCUUGAUGCACCAUUACCGCCUCCCGGACGGGAGCACGGAGAACAGUCCAUGUCCUAGGUGGCCUUUCUCAGACACUGCCUGGCAUGUACAUCCUGGAUGGCUGGGAGCUCGCCUCGGUGAUGUGCUGGGCCAUCUGCAACACGCUCUGUAGGGCCUUCCAGUUGCGGGCGGUGCAGUUGUCAUACCAGAUGGGGUGAUUACAACCAGUCAGGAUGCUCUCAAUGGUGCACCUGUAAAAUUUCCUGAGGAUCUGAGAGGCCAUGCCAAAUAGUUUCAGCCUCCUGAGGGAGAAGAGGCGUUGCCAUGCCUUCAUGAUUGUUCUGGUGGCACUAAAGAGAAUGACCAUGCUAGUAAGGGUAAAAAAGCCUAUAGCAUUCUCAACAUAUACUGUACAUGUAGAUGAUCAACUUACUCUAUCCCUCUCUCUUCCUUUCUUUGCCUGAGAAACUUAAGAGCUGAGACCUCCGGCAAACAAGCAGCAUUGUAUUGGCACAGUUACUUUGCUACAGUGCCAGUAUUUGAACAAGCUCCCUUGUGAUGUUCUCCCA